CCCCGUAACUUCGGGAGAAGGGGUGCUGGUGUAACAGCCAGCCGCAGUGAAUAGGCCCAAACAACUGUUUAUCAAAAACACAGGUCUAUGCUAAAUCGUAAGAUGACGUAUAUGGGCUGACGCCUGCCCGGUGCUGGAAGGUUAAGAGGAUCAGUUAGCUUUUGCGAAGCUGAGAAUUGAAGCCCCAGUAAACGGCGGCCGUAACUAUAACGGUCCUAAGGUAGCGAAAUUCCUUGUCGGGUAAGUUCCGACCCGCACGAAAGGCGUAAUGAUUUGGGCACUGUCUCAACGAGAGACUCGGUGAAAUUAUAAUACCCGUGAAGAUGCGGGUUACCCGCGACAGGACGGAAAGACCCCAUGGAGCUUUACUGUAGCUUGAUAUUGAGUUUUUGUGUGACAUGUACAGGAUAGGUAGGAGCCGUUGAUUUCGGAACGCUAGUUUCGAAGGAGGCGUUGGUGGGAUACUACCCUUGUUAUAUGAAAGCUCUAACCUACAUCGCUCAGCGCGAUGAGGGACAGUGUCUGGUGGGCAGUUUGACUGGGGCGGUCGCCUCCUAAAAUGUAACGGAGGCGCUCAAAGGUUCGCUCAGAAUGGUUGGAAAUCAUUCGCAGAGUGUAAACGUAAAAGCGAGCUUGACUGCGAGACUGACAAGUCGAGCAGGGACGAAAGUCGGAGUUAGUGAUCCGGUGGUACCAUAUGGAAGGGCCAUCGCUCAACGGAUAAAAGCUACCCUGGGGAUAACAGGCUUAUCUCCCCCAAGAGUUCACAUCGACGGGGAGGUUUGGCACCUCGAUGUCGGCUCAUCGCAUCCUGGGGCUGUAGUCGGUCCCAAGGGUUGGGCUGUUCGCCCAUUAAAGCGGUACGCGAGCUGGGUUCAGAACGUCGUGAGACAGUUCGGUCCCUAUCCGUCGCGGGCGCAGGAAAUUUGAGAGGAGCUGUCCUUAGUACGAGAGGACCGGGAUGGACGUUCCGCUGGUGUACCAGUUGUGCCGCCAGGCGCAUCGCUGGGUAGCUAUGAACGGCAGGGAUAAACGCUGAAAGCAUCUAAGUGUGAAGCCCCCCUCGAGAUGAGAUUUCCCAUUCCUAUAUGGAAGUAAGACCCCUGAGAGAUGAUCAGGUAGAUAGGCUGGAAGUGGAAGUGCAGCGAUGCAUGGAGCGGACCAGUACUAAUCGGUCGAGGACUUAACCAA
rnacentral:rRNA from 1 species